rnacentral:rRNA from 1 species
GACGAACGCUGGCGGCGUGCCUAAUACAUGCAAGUAGAACGCUGAAGGAGGAGCUUGCUCUUCUGGAUGAGUUGCGAACGGGUGAGUAACGCGUAGGUAACCUGCCUGGUAGCGGGGGAUAACUAUUGGAAACGAUAGCUAAUACCGCAUAAGAGUAGAUGUUGCAUGACAUUUGCUUAAAAGGUGCAAUUGCAUCACUACCAGAUGGACCUGCGUUGUAUUAGCUAGUUGGUGGGGUAACGGCUCACCAAGGCGACGAUACAUAGCCGACCUGAGAGGGUGAUCGGCCACACUGGGACUGAGACACGGCCCAGACUCCUACGGGAGGCAGCAGUAGGGAAUCUUCGGCAAUGGACGGAAGUCUGACCGAGCAACGCCGCGUGAGUGAAGAAGGUUUUCGGAUCGUAAAGCUCGGUUGUAAGAGAAGAACGAGUGUGAGAGUGGAAAGUUCACACUGUGACGGUAUCUUACCAGAAAGGGACGGCUAACUACGUG